CGCGGUACCGCGACGAACUCGGUUCGUCUAUUUCCAGCCUUACCUGGCUUUUUGGGAUUAAUAACUACCCCAAUUGGCAAAUACCAGGUUUUAUGAUCGACAGUUGUCAGCUCCUUUUCGUUGGCUGCAUGGGCGUAACCUUUUGCUACGUACUGUUGGAUUUGGUUCUCGACAUUUUCCUUCAAAUCACUGUUUCGUAGUAAUUUCUUUUCUAGUUACUGCAAUCUUUUCAACGCCAUUUGGUAACUGUCAGGCAACUGCAUUUCGUCCCAUUUCCACAAUAAACCAGUUUCGUGUCGGUUUCCUAUACAUUUUGUAGUUUCCUUUAAUAGUUUUGCACUUCGGUCUUCUUCCUGAGAAAUCGGUGUGGGUAAGGGUUUCGUACCUAUAUCUUCGCCAGAAAAAUAAAAUUUUAGUUGAUUUUCAAUCAUGUAAUCAAAUUUAGAAUGAAAAUUAUUCAGAUACUGUGCUCGAUUUCACACGUUAUCUGCCACGUCAGCCACUAUGUGGCUGACGGGUUUUUUUUCCGAUCGGGCCACGUCAGCCACAUAGUGGCUGACACAUUACACAUUGUAAAAGACGUGUUACAAGAGAUAAAUUUGCACGUAUUUGAUCGGUUCUUUCACAAUGCUUUUCUUUCACGGUUAUUAUUUCUCAAAAAAAUGAUUCAAAUAUCAAAAUGAGUUUCUAUUAUGUUUUCAUAAAUAAAUGAGAAUGAGAAUGAACAAUAAUUAAAAGAUCUUGGAGUUUAUUUAUUCAUCCUUUACUUUUGAUGCAAAUCUUAAAACACUAAUCACAAAAUUGAGGUUGAUCGGGACAGCUUGGACAAUACGUAAACGAUCUUUUCACAGUUUCACGUGCCUUUCAUCGGCCCAUGCCCGCUUGGCAAAGAGUAACUCAUUUUAAUGCCUCUCGCUACCCCUGGCCCUAGUUUUGAAGGAAUCAUGCGACACACUCGAACUCCACUACCCCAUCCCAUGGAAAAACCUCCCACCAUCGAGGUGUUAAUAAAAAUUUCGUGGUGUGCAUGAGACACACACUCGCACUCCUCCACCUCUCCAUAACCGAUCGCUCCCACCGUUGCGAAGUUGCGAGCAUUUUUGCUCUGAGCGUGAGACCCUGAAGCGCAAGAGAUGACACUAUGUGUAAAGACGAUCAUAAUUCGAUAUGGUCAAAAAGCGUCGAUUAUCGUUUCAUUUAUCUGGUAAUGAUGUUUUCACUUCAUCAAAAUUUUAAACAUUAUCAACUAGGCUGAUAACAAUAGUUGAAAUGUAAAUCAGAAUAAAAUCAAUUUAUUGGAAGUAAAAUAAAUUUCAUUAUACAUUAUUUUGACCAUAUGAUCAACAUUUGUACAGAGUGCCAUUUACUUUGUGUUCUUCGCUCUCGCGCUGUGUUGUGAUCGUUCUAAACUCAUCGCCAGAGCGAAUGCAAUUUUCAUUUUGGAAGGAUUGGUGCCGGUAGAUGCAGCGAAAAUUAUUAAAUGAUAAUAGAAAAGUGGUUGAGUAAAUCGUGAAAGAUGUCAACGCAGGCGUAACUGCAGUUUGUUUUGUUACAUGAUCUACGGCUAUUUCAUUUCCAAAGCUCCUGAUAACAGAUCAAAGCAGAUGGAUCGGGCAUACAGAGUCGCCUUUUAACAUUAAAUAUCUUCUUUAUCGGCAAACGCAUCAAACACCAAGUGUUUCUCUUCCAACAGCACGCGCCAUCGGUGGAGCAAGCAGCCAACGAUUUGAUCGCCAGUACGCGCCAUCAAGAAUUGAUAUUUUGCCAAACAGUACUGUGAAUACAAAACUGCACACUUACUGUCGGAAUUUCCUGGAAUUUUUUGAUCGGUCUACGCUCGCGGGAAUGGUGGGUUCGUUGAGGAGAAGGAAAGAAAGGGUGGGAGCGAGGAUUAACCAAAAACGCGGCAUUGAGAAUGAGGGGAGGUGCGCUCAGCGCUCACGCUGGGACACUCACGAUGCUUGAAAUAAAAUGUUAACAAGCAUCGAUUUCAAGCAUGCAUGUCGCGCGACAUUUUGCCAAGCGGGUGCUUUCCCGCUUCGCAAAGAGUAACUCAUUUUAAUGCCUCCCGCUACCCAUGGCCCUAGUUUUGAAGGAAUCAUGCGACACACUCGCACUCCACUACCCCAUCCCAUGGAAAAACGCUUCCACCAUCGAGGUGUUGACCAAAAUUUCGCUGUGUGCAUGAGACACACACUCGCACUCCUCCAGCCCUCCACAGCUGAACGCUCCCACCGUUGCGAAGUUGCGAGCAUUUUUGCUCUGAGCGUGAGACCCUGAAGCGCAAGAGAUGACACUAUGUGUAAAGACGAUCAUAAUUCGAUAUGGUCAAAAAGCGUCGAUUAUCGUUUCAUUUAUCUGGUAAUGAUGUUUUCACUUCAUCAAAAUUUUAAACAUUAUCAACUAGGCUGAUAACAAUAGUUGAAAUGUAAAUCAGAAUAAAAUCAAUUUAUUGGAAGUAAAAUAAAUUUCAUUAUACAUUAUUUUGACCAUAUGAUCAACAUUUGUACAGAGUGCCAUUUACUUUGUGUUCUUCGCUCUCGCGCUGUGUUGUGAUCGUUCUAAACUCAUCGCCAGAGCGAAUGCAAUUUUCAUUUUGGAAGGAUUGGUGCCGGUAGAUGCAGCGAAAAUUAUUAAAUGAUAAUAGAAAAGUGGUUGAGUAAAUCGUGAAAGAUGUCAACGCAGGCGUAACUGCAGUUUGUUUUGUUACAUGAUCUACGGCUAUUUCAUUUCCAAAGCUCCUGAUAACAGAUCAAAGCAGAUGGAUCGGGCAUACAGAGUCGCCUUUUAACAUUAAAUAUCUUCUUUAUCGGCAAACGCAUCAAACACCAAGUGUUUCUCUUCCAACAGCACGCGCCAUCGGUGGAGCAAGCAGCCAACGAUUUGAUCGCCAGUACGCGCCAUCAAGAAUUGAAAUAUUCCCGAAUAGCUCUGUGAAUAAAAAACUGCACACUUACUGUCGGAAUUUCCUGGAAUUUUUUGAUCGGUCUACGCUCGCGGGAAUGGUGGGUUCGUUGAGGAGAAGGAAAGAAAGGGUGGGAGCGAGGAUUAACCAAAAACGCGGCAUUGAGAAUGAGGGGAGGUGCGCUCAGCG